AUGUUCUCACUUAUGGUGUUUCCCCUCUAGAUUCCUCUUCGAUUGUCCAGAGUAACAAACUAAUUUCUACAGAGUUCGUCCGAAAUAGAGAAAUUCCGAGGAAUCAAAAUUUAGUAACAGGAGACAUCGAAUUGUAAGGUAGCCGCUGCAAAGAAAUUAGCUCUUGUGAUUGCCAAUAGCAGGAAAGAUGCCAUUAACAAAACUUGGAAUUGUCCUUUGGAACAAAGGUGUAGGACUCUUUGUCUGAUUUCAGUUGGCAUUAAAUGGAAGAUACACCAUCACGAUGAUGAGCACCAGUGUUGUCAUGUUUGAUGGGUUUCGGAUGUCAGAUUAGCAAAUUUAUGCUCUUUAGGAUCUAAUUGAAGUUGUGAUAGUAUAACAAAUUGAUGAAAUUCAAUAUAAUAUUACUAAUAUGUAACGGCAUAUUCUGAUUGUAAAUGUACAAAUCAAACUAGCCACCAGAUGAAUGAGUUGGUAAAGUAUAGAUGGCUUGGAGGAGUCAUCAUUGGGACUAUGAUAGGCUUCAAUUUGACUUUGAUUGAAGGUGCUCAAGCUGGCCUGCGCAAUGUCGUCAUAACUGGAAGGAGCUAUGGUGCUUCAACAAAAUUGAAGGAUAAGCUAGCUCUUGACAAAUUACAACAGACAAUGAGGUGAUCAUUUUCACCUAGGUUAUUAAAAAUGAGCUUUGUUGUUGAUUUCGGUCGAGUUGUGACCCCCCCCCCCCCCCCUUCACCGGAAUUUUACUUGUUUUCCUGCUAUCUUCCUAAGUUGAGCAAAUCAGUAGUUCUAUUGUUGUUUCCAAAUAGGUUGCUUCAUUGCUAAUUUAAGAUCUUUCUCCACCUACCAUUUUGUAAAAACAAGAACCACCAACGCGUGCACAAAGGUGAGUCACGCUCUUCCCCCUCUAUAUAUAGGGGUAUAAAGCUUCAGUUUUUUCCGCGAGUAUCUGUUUUAACAUCCUGCCCGUGUGCUUAGUUGAGAAAUUUUGGGCAGCUUCUCUCUGAAUUUCCUUUUUUUAAUCCUUUAACUUCCACAAAGAAUUGUUUUAAGGAAGUCCAAACAAACUUUUGGAUCUCAUACUUUAUUUAUGCUUUCGUCGAGAGUUUGAAGAGGCAACAUGCAUUGAAAAUAAUAGAAUUACCUCUUUUAAGUCACAACUUGAUGACUUCUUUAUAUAUGGUUGAAUCAUUUCCUUAUUUCACCUUUGCAGAUUAAUAAGACUUGAUCCGGUCCUUUACAUUCUUUCCAAAGAAAAAUUAUGUUUCACGAAAAACAAAGCAGAUAAUAUUCUUUAAAUUUGUAAGUUCAGAAAUUAAGUGGAGCAAGUCAUUUCAAGGCAUUUGACAUUUCAUUUUAAAUUUCAUUGUCAAUAAUUCAGGAAUGCAGAAAUUAUAGUUUUUUUUUCUUUCUGGAGUGGCUCUGGGGGGUACCAUAGACACUUAAUUUUUAUCUCCCCCUCGAUCAUUUCAACGACAACUAUCUUCUAUACUGUGGUUUUUAUAUCGACAUGUUCUUAUGGUGCAGUACCAUUUAUUGGAACUGUGUACGCCAGGUGAUACGACGAAGGAAAUCUCUACCAGGUUGGCUAAAUUUUUUAAAAUCUUACAUUCAAAGAGGAUUCUGAAACAGUAGCUUCUGUCGAUUAACUUUUUGAGAAUGAGCUUCUGUAAAUUAACUCCUGCUCGGCUUCUUCAUUGAGAUUGCCUCAUAGCUGUUGAAUUUAUCAUAUUCUUGACCUUUGAAUGAAUACAAGGAAAUGCAGUUAUCAAUUUGUCCUUGCAGCGGAUGGUGUGCCAGAAAUAAGUUGAAGAUGUAUGAUAUCAAUGAAUGAGUCUUGCUUCAGUGAUCCCUCUCUCCAGAAGGAUCACAAGAAUGAUCUGAUAGUGGAUGAAGAAAAAAGAGCACUGAAAACACAUGGAAGAGAUGAUCAUGUAUUUUGGUGACACUGAGAUGGAGCGGCCAAAGUACGAGAUUGAUAGCCGAUUUGAAGCUAAAGGUUCCAUGUAGUAGUUCAAGACCGGGACAUAUCUUCAUACGUUGAAGAAUUCUAAAACUUUUGAGUUCUUGAUUCUUGGUUUUGCUAUGUUUGUAGUAAAAUAACUAUUCCCUUUCUAAAAGCAUACAUUGUUGGACCUAUGCUAUAUACUCCAUAGUGUUUUAAAUUGGGGAGUCACUUUUAACAGCGUGAAGACUAUAUAUAGGUAAAUCUGGAUGACCUAAGGUAUUUCUUUUUACUGUUGACCAAAGAUUUACAGGAGUAAACCUUUGUUUUCUGCCAAUUAAUCAUGAUGGAAUAUGAAAUUAUUGGAAUAUUAAUUUAUGAACUUUGAUUCAUGAUGGUUAUAAUGUUACUUUGUAAUUAAAAAAACUUGUUAAUGUA